CCUACGGGUGGCUGCAGUGGGGAAUAUUGGACAAUGGGCGAAAGCCUGAUCCAGCCAUGCCGCGUGUGUGAAGAAGGCCUUCGGGUUGUAAAGCACUUUCAGUGGGGAAGAAAGCCUUGGGGCUAAUACCCUCGAGGAAGGACAUCACCCACAGAAGAAGCACCGGCUAACUCCGUGCCAGCAGCCGCGGUAAUACGGAGGGUGCGAGCGUUAAUCGGAAUUACUGGGCGUAAAGCGCGCGUAGGCGGUCUGAUAAGCCGGUUGUGAAAGCCCCGGGCUCAACCUGGGAACGGCAUCCGGAACUGUCAGGCUAGAGUGCAGGAGAGGAAGGUAAAAUUCCCGGUGUAGCGGUGAAAUGCGUAGAGAUCGGGAGGAAUACCAGUGGCGAAGGCGGCCUUCUGGACUGACACUGACGCUGAGGUGCGAAAGCGUGGGUAGCAAACAGGAUUAGAUACCCCUGUAGUC
rnacentral:rRNA from 1 species